CAGGCCAGUGAGUUCCUGGUAGAAAUUCCGAGUUCAUUAUAAACUCUAAAGCAGGGAAGCAUCUCAGCAUUCAGAAAUCGGAUUUUGUGGUCAUAGAGCUGCAGCUGUGGAGGAGGCAGCACACUUUAGUAGCUCCUAAAUUGGUGCUUCUUUAUGGAUUUAGGGGAUUGUUUUCUUUACAGUUUUUAGGAGAAUAGUUUUACUUUUACUUUAUCCCUUCCUAGACUUCUAGAUAUUUUAUUUUGUGGAACUGCAGUGUAGAAAAGUUGAGACAGUGAUGAGCUUUGUUGCAGAGCAAUGAGUCUGAGGAAACACCAACUCUCCUCUCCACAGAAUGCUGAUGGGGAAGACCGGUAAACAACUGAAAAUAGACAAUUAUCUGCUGGAUAAAGACCUCCAAGUGAUUCUGCAAGGUGGCAUUUCAACCUCUAACAGAUUUUCUGUCCUGGAAAGUGGCUCUUCGUAUCUGCCAGGAGAUAAUAUAGAGGUGGAGAUUUUUCCUCCCAAUUCAUGCUGUGUAAACAGACAGGCACAGCCAGGAGGGAACACGCAUAGCAUGUGGAGGACGCACGCAAGACAACAACACUCCGCAAGUGGAGCAGCAAGGCUUUGCAUGUUGUUGUUGCCCUCUCCUCGCCCACACAGCUUUGAAGAGUAAAGGAUGAUGAUGGCAGAUAAGAAGAGAAUGGCAGCACGCACGUGUCUCUGGACAUUUCUUUUCCUGUCUGACUCUGUGGCAUGAGAUCGCCGCAUCUAUGUAUGGGCAAGCACAAUCUUCAAAUAAAAUGCUGUCAAUCAACUCACAAA